rnacentral:rRNA from 1 species
UACGAAGGGGGCUAGCGUUGUUCGGAAUCACUGGGCGUAAAGGGCGCGUAGGCGGCUUGAUAAGUCGGGGGUGAAAGCCUGUGGCUCAACCACAGAAUUGCCUUCGAUACUGCGGUGCUUGAGGACUGGAGAGGUGGGUGGAAUUCUCGGUGUAGAGGUGAAAUUCGUAGAUAUCGAGAGGAACACCGGCGGCGAAGGCGGCCCACUGGACAGAUACUGACGCUGAGACUCGAAAGCCAGGGGAGCGAACGGG